rnacentral:rRNA from 1 species
GACGAACGCUGGCGGCGUGCUUAACACAUGCAAGUCGAACGAAGUGGCGAACGGGUGAGUAACGCGUAAUCAACCUCCCCUUCAGACGGUGACAACAUUUGGAAACGACUGCUAAUACCGCAUACUGAAGGAGGGGAUUGCGUCUGAUUAGCUCGUUGGCGGGGUAACGGCCCACCAAGGCGAUGAUCAGUAUCCGGGCUGAGAGUAUGAACGGCCACAUUGGGACUGAGACACGGCCCAGACUCCUACGGGAGGCAGCAGGGGGGAAUCUUCCGCAAUGGACGAAAGUAUGACGGAGCAACGCCGCGGGAGUGAUGACGGCCUUCGGGUUGUAAAGCUCUGUUAAUCGGGACGCGGUACCGGAAUAGAAAGCCACGGCUAACUACGUGCCAGCCGCCGCGGUAAUUC